rnacentral:rRNA from 1 species
GAUGAACGCUGGCGGCGUGCCUAAUACAUGCAAGUCGAGCGAACAGAUAAGGAGCUUGCUCCUUUGACGUUAGCGGCGGACGGGUGAGUAACACGUGGGUAACCUAUCUAUAAGACUGGAAUAACUCCGGGAAACCGGGGCUAAUGCCGGAUAACAUGUUGAACCGCAUGGUUCUACAGUGAAAGGCGGCUUUGCUGUCACUUAUAGAUGGACCCGCGCCGUAUUAGCUAGUUGGUGAGGUAACGGCUCACCAAGGCAACGAUACGUAGCCGACCUGAGAGGGUGAUCGGCCACACUGGAACUGAGACACGGUCCAGACCCCUACGGGAGGCAGCAGUAGGGAAUCUUCCGCAAUGGGCGAAAGCCUGACGGAGCAACGCCGCGUGAGUGAUGAAGGUCUUCGGAUCGUAAAACUCUGUUAUUAGGGAAGAACAAAUGCGUAAGUAACUGUGCGCGUCUUGACGGUACCUAAUCAGAAAGCCACGGCUAACUACGUG